rnacentral:rRNA from 1 species
AGUGGAUCUGUCUAUCGUAGUAGUAGCCUGCGCAGGAUCAUUA